rnacentral:rRNA from 1 species
UACGUAGGGGGCUAGCGUUGUCCGGAAUCAUUGGGCGUAAAGAGCGCGUAGGCGGCCAGAUAAGUCCGGUGUGAAAGUCACAGGCUCAACCUGUGAAUGCCGCUGGAAACUGUCUGGCUAGAGUCCGGGAGGGGCGAGUGGAAUUCCUGGUGUAGCGGUGAAAUGCGCAGAUAUCAGGAGGAACACCGGUGGCGAAGGCGGGUCUCUGGGCCGAUACUGACGCUGAGGAGCGAAAGCGUGGGGAGCGAACAGG